rnacentral:sRNA from 1 species
CACUAAGGGUGUUCGGGUAAGUACGCAACGUCCUGUUGCAACGCCGAAUUGACCCACAUCCUGUGGC